UAAAGCCAUUUUUCUUUUGUAACCUCGACCAGGCAGGUCUGCUCUGGAUGCUGAUCAACAAUUUAGCUUCACUUGGAUGACUUGGGACAACCCUGACUCUUUCAAGGCUGAGUGGAAAAAUGUUCCCAGCAUGUCGAAGGAAGACCUUGCAGAUUUGUCUCCAGUUCUUAUGGCUGGUGCAUCCCACUGUGCAUUUGAUUCCCACGUUUAAAUUCUGAGCAGAUAGCAGUCAGCCUUCACCAGAAUACUUUUUUGCAACCCCAUCAGCAUAUCAGAGAGCAAUAUUAAUGCUUUAAAGUGCAAGUCCCAGAUACCCCACCUCUGCCAGGAGCAAGCAGCAGAGCUAAAGCAUCCAGUGGCAAAAGCCCACGUGUGCUGCGGUGAGUUGGUGGCAUCACUGCAAAAUGCCUGGUUGGACACGAGGAGCUGCACACAAGCAAACAGCCAUGAGCCAGGAAGGAAUACCAUCUUGGAGGGCCCCGUCCUUCACUUCUUCACUGGAAGUUUCUUAAAGGUUGGGGCAUCAUGUCAGUUCACUGCAGCUGCCCUUUCUUCUGCACUCCCAGGUUAGAAACGGUGACUUCUCUCCAGCACCCAAACCAUGCCCUCUCCUAAGACGCAGAGAAGUCUGAAACACCCAUGGAAAAGCUGCUCAGUGUUUGGCACAUACAGAAGGUCACACUCGAUGAGGUAAGAUGUUAUUUUCAAGCUUAUAGUCAAGUAUUGCAAAUAAUUACAAAAUAGAGCUCUAUAUUUAUGUAGCUGAAAGUUAUUUUAACUUGCAUUGAUCAAUGCUUGCUUCCAAUAUAAUGCAUGAAAAAGUCUAUCAAGGAUAAUGCUUAUUCACUGUGAAUCUUGGUUAGAAAUAGAUCCUCAGGUGAUACAUCCAUGAUGAGCCAUUUUAAAGAGGGUAUUAUAUGUCUCUCAAAGCCUUUUGGGAGGGAGGAGGGAAAAGGUACUUUGAGACAAUAGGAAGCUGAUUCAAUAGCGGCACAUGAGAAAGGCAGUCUCAUGGUGCAGCCUUUGCAAAACAAGCUGAGCACCACAGAGCUUUUAUGUAAUGCAAAUGAUUUAGAUGAAAUGAGAGGAAGAACUGAGAGAAACUAAGGACAGGCCCAGCAAAGGCUAAUUAAAAUGAGGUGGAUGCAAAUCUUUGCAGGAGUUUGGAAGGACUGAAGUGUUCCAUCCCUGCUGCUGUUUGCAGAGAUGUUUGCUUUCAGAUUGGCAGCAGGGACAGGUAGCUGGAGUGGUAAUCUCCUAAAGAAAUGAAU